AUUGAACGCUGGCGGCAUGCCUUACACAUGCAAGUCGAACGGUAACAGGUUAAGCUGACGAGUGGCGAACGGGUGAGUAAUGUAUCGGAACGUGCCCAGUUGUGGGGGAUAACUGCUCGAAAGAGCAGCUAAUACCGCAUACGACCUGAGGGUGAAAGCGGGGGAUCGCAAGACCUCGCGCAAUUGGAGCGGCCGAUAUCAGAUUAGGUAGUUGGUGGGGUAAAGGCCUACCAAGCCUACGAUCUGUAGCUGGUCUGAGAGGAAGACCAGCCACACUGGGACUGAGACACGGCCCAGACUCCUACGGGAGGCAGCAGUGGGGAAUUUUGGACAAUGGGCGCAAGCCUGAUCCAGCCAUGCCGCGUGCGGGAAGAAGGCCUUCGGGUUGUAAACCGCUUUUGUCAGGGAAGAAAAGGUUCUGGCUAAUACCUGGGACUCAUGACGGUACCUGAAGAAUAAGCACCGGCUAACUACGUGCCAGCCGCCGCAGUAAUAC
rnacentral:rRNA from 1 species